rnacentral:tRNA from 2 species
GCCGGGGUGGCGGAAUGGCAGACGCUACGGACUUAAAAUCCGUUGACCGUAAGGUCGUGUGGGUUCGACUCCCACCCUCGGCACCA